rnacentral:rRNA from 1 species
CGCGUAGGCGGAUUGGAAAGUUGGGGGUGAAAUCCCGGGGCUCAACCCCGGAACUGCCUCCAAAACUAUCAAUCUAGAGUUCGAGAGAGGUGAGUGGAAUUCCGAGUGUAGAGGUGAAAUUCGUAGAUAUUCGGAGGAACACCAGUGGCGAAGGCGGCUCACUGGCUCGAUACUGACGCUGAGGUGCGAAAGCGUGGGGAGCAAACA